GUUUCCUUUCUUGUUGAGUAAAGCUUGCUGUGAAGCUUGUGGAAAUCUUAAAGCAGCAUUUCUUAUAGCAGUGGAAAUUGAAGACAUUUAACAACUUCAGUCCAAAGAACUUGUUGAGUUUGCGUGUUUUUUUAAGAUGGAAUCACAAUUGCCACAAACAAGAGGGAAGAAAAUACGAAAGCUUAAGUUCAAACUCCCUCCACCUCCAGAAGUUACAGCAGCUCCUCACCUAACAUCUGAAGUUCAACUCACGCCAAAUCUGCAACCAACACCGGCACCUCAAAACACAUCAUCUUCUCAACAAAUAGC